rnacentral:lncRNA from 1 species
AACUUCAAAACCAAACACAUGGUCGUUUUCCAUUGAUCCCUUGCAGAAACGACUAUGAGAAACACCACAAAUGAAAAAUUAUGAGGUAGCAUUUGAACACACAUAUCACCUUUGGAGCCCAUCAAAUUAACUACACUGAAUGGGACCAUAGCAUGGUGAGAAAAAUAACGUGAGGUAAUUGGCUGCAUUUGCACUACGUAAUGUUCUCAUUCUAACCAGAUGCCCAUGCACAAUUGCAGAUGGAUCAGAGAGAGUUAGGAUCGUAUGGUCAUUCGAUAGCACUUCGUCGUCUCCCUGGUUGUCACGCAUACCUGCAAGCCCAACCAAGGUGCAAAAAUUUCUCAAAUAGAGGCAAUUGGUGACAUCUAAAACUUCAUAAAAUAAGUAAAUAUCACUCAUGAAUAUAAUUUGAACGCCGUGAUUUAUAUAACUACAAUUGCAAGCUGAUGUAUACGAAAAUGAAAUGCUUAUGGUUGGUAGUAGAUGAAAAAUAGUAGCCAGGCUUCAAAAAAAAAUAUGUGACAAAAGUUGUACCUUAUGAUUUCAUUAUAGAUGCGGGACUGUAUCCAUGGAUCGAGGACUUCACCUUGCAAGCCAUAAUAACUAAUUGUCCACAUUAUAAUUUUUGAAGAUAUUGAAAUGCACAUAAUACAUAUGGAAGAUACAUCUAGAAAACAUGUUCGGUAUUAACAAAUCGAUUUGGAUGCUACAUCCGGAAAACACAUCCAUACAUCUGAGACUUUGUACAUGACCCUGAGCCAUAUACCAAUCGCUAGAAAAAUGAGACAAUAACCUGCAUAUAUACAGUAAUACACAUCAAGGCCACACAGCACAUAUGCAUCUCCUUCUCGUCCACUUCAAAAACACAUACGCAUAUACGCAUUCAGAGGAACAACUCAGGCAUGUGCGUUGAUAUCUGGACAAACAAAUAACGGGAACAACCUCAUCCUUCCACUCGUACGUACCUUGGUGACAGACACACUAUUUUGAUUGGGAUCAGGUAGACUUGUCCAUGCUUAGUAUCGAUCUGGAGACGCAGGGUAGAAGCAAUUUGCCUGAAAACCGACAGGGAAAAGCACAAACCAUGUCAUCAGUGACACACACUGAGAACAAAGGGGAAACAAGAGCAGCAGAAGUGCUUGUAUGUAGAGGAAGAAGAUAAACAAGGCCACCACGUAGACACCCAUGACAGGACUAGAAAUGAUUAGUAGCAUAUCCAUCCCCAUGUCAAACAUGGGAUGAUGAGCAUCAGAGAAGUCUAACGAGCAUGUGCUUCAGUUGCAGUAUUACGCAGUGACGCACUAGCAAAUCAGCGACACAGAAAUUGCUGCUCAAAUCGAAGCGCAAAAGGGAAAAGCAGAGGCUAAAAUGAGCAGGACUGGUGGCGGAGCAGGAACGCGGUGGGCAGCCGGCAACGGCAGAGCAGAAUCCGCAGGAGGCGUCCAGUCCAACAGAACAAACUCUUGUGCGGCAUCCGCUCACGACAUGGCCCGCCCGCCCCAGCACUAGGCACUAGCAGCAGCUUCGCAUUCGCGGAUGCCCCGACGCCGAUAGGGAAGGCAAUAGGCGGCGGCAUUGCACGGAUCACAACGAGCAUGAGGAGUUGUGGGUGGGGGGGGGUGGAUGGAUACCUUGGCCGGCGCCGGAGCCGGAGCCGGC